ACGGGAUCGUGGAGGAGCCGCCGACGCUGGGCCCCCUCGGAAUCACGGGAUAGAGGAGGACGUCCUACAGACUUUGGUCCCUUUGGUGUCAUGGAGGGCGUUGCCUGUGGUGACGGGGACCGUAAUAGUCAUUCAUUUCUCCCACACACUGUCUUCGUCACCAUCGGGUGUCAAGACCAGAAAUUCCCAACCGGGGCUCCAUGGAAAAGUUCCACGAACUCCCCGAUCCUCCAAAAAUAGAAGGACUCGCACUCCCCAAGAUCCGUUUCCGUGCUUCUGCGUAUUCAGCUUCUCUCUGGGCCAGCGAUUUGACUUGUGGAGGAGGUCUUGUAGUGGAGUUGGGCGUGCUGACCACCCCGUUACUUGUCGGUCUCUUCAAAAUGCGGAUUUGCGGAGCACAGGGCGUUGGAUGGAGGUCAUCCUGUAUGACGAUGGGAACCUUAGGUGUCAGCUUCGAUUUUCUGUUUAAAUAUAAAAAAUAAUGAUUCUCCAGAAUAGCACUACACUCUCCCAAACAGCCUGUUAAAGAUAAGGAGGAGACAGCAUAAGACUACGAGACAAAUCCAGAACAGAUAUGGAAGACUUGCAGGAAAGCUCUGCUGAGGAAGAAUGGCAGCAUCCAUGCAAAAUAGAUUUGAGACAGUGCAUUGGCAGUUACCCAUGAAAAGUGUGCUCCCACCCCUCAUGUUAUGCUCUGAACACAAAGAAAAAUGUUUUUUUAAUUAUAGACUGCCAUACCAGAAAAGCCAGGCCUGUUCAAUGGCUCACUCAUAGCACAGAUUCAGAAGGUUCCCGAUUGCAAUUUCUCUGUUAUGACGCCCCAAAAUCCAAGUGAAAUAGCAGCUUUGAGACCAUAUUUACUAUACCUGCAACCUCAGAUUAUUAGCGUUUUUUAAUCGUCAUAAUUACAAAAAAAAAAUAGAGCAAAUGAUACUCUACUCCAACCAGCCUAUCCCACAAAACUGCAGUAGCUUGUGCUUAGUAAAUAUACUCCCCACCCAAAACCAUAUGAUCUAAAAUGAUUUUAAGGCAGGGAUGGGAAUCAUAAGCGAUCAAACCACUUGUUACAACCGGUUAGACUUUAGGAUAAGUAACUUACUACUGGGAAACAAACAGAUUUAAUUUUGCAUUGUAGAAGCUGCCACAGGCAUGUUCCUGGUAAGUUGGAUGAUACACUUAGAGGACAGGAGUGUCACACUCCAAAAUGGAGAUUUGCAUGAUGCUGAUGGGAAACAAUGUGCUUUUGAUUAAAUGCACAAGCACCAUUCUGUAAUCAAUAAAAUUUAAUUGCUCUUCAGUUUGCAGAA